GAGGGUGUAGCUCAGUGGUAGAGUGCAUGCCUAGCAUGCAUGAGGUCCUCUGUUCAAUCCCCAGUACCUCCU
rnacentral:tRNA from 1 species